AACGAACGCUGGCGGCAUGCCUAACACAUGCAAGUCGAACGAGAUCUUCAGGUCUAGUGGCGCACGGGUGCGUAACGCGUGGGAAUCUGCCCUUUGGUUCGGAAUAACAGUUGGAAACGACUGCUAAUACCGGAUGAUGACGAAAGUCCAAAGAUUUAUCGGCAGAGGAUGAGCCCGCGUAGGAUUAGCUAGUUGGUGUGGUAAAGGCGCACCAAGGCGACGAUCCUUAGCUGGUCUGAGAGGAUGAUCAGCCACACUGGGACUGAGACACGGCCCAGACUCCUACGGGAGGCAGCAGUGGGGAAUAUUGGACAAUGGGCGAAAGCCUGAUCCAGCAAUGCCGCGUGAGUGAUGAAGGCCUUAGUGUUGUAAAGCUCUUUUACCCGGGAUGAUAAUGACAGUACCGGGAGAAUAAGCUCCGGCUAACUCCGUGCCAGCAGCCGCAGUAA
rnacentral:rRNA from 1 species